UACGUAGGGACCAAGCGUUGUUCGGAUUUACUGGGCGUAAAGGGCGCGUAGGCGGCGUGACAAGUCACUUGUGAAAUCUCCGGGCUUAACUCGGAACGGCCAAGUGAAACUGUCAUGCUAGAGUGCAGAAGGGGCAAUCGGAAUUCUUGGUGUAGCGGUGAAAUGCGUAGAUAUCAAGAGGAACACCUGAGGUGAAGACGGGUUGCUGGGCUGACACUGACGCUGAUGCGCGAAAGCUAGGGGAGCAAACGGG
rnacentral:rRNA from 1 species